rnacentral:rRNA from 1 species
UACAGAGGGGCAAGCGUUAUUCGGAAUUACUGGGCGUAAAGGGCGCGUAGGCGGCAAUUCAAGUCAUCUGUGAAUCUCCGGGCUUAACUCGGAACGGUCAAGUGAUACUGUCGUGCUAGAGUACAGAAGGGGCAACUGGAAUUCUCGGUGUAGCGGUGAAUGCGUAGAUAUCAAGAGGAACACCUGAGGCGAAGGCGGGUGCUAGGCUGACACUGACGCUGAAGCGCGAAAGCCAGGGAGCAAACGGG